rnacentral:lncRNA from 1 species
ACAGUACGGUGUACAGAGUACAGUGGUGGGGUGAACUAAUGAUCGCUGCCUUACUGUGCUUAGUGAUGUCUGACACAGCUGUCCUGGUUGUGUGUUGGAUCUAUAUACGCAGGUACAGUAGAAAGUGUGAAUCCAGCAGCAUGAAUCAGUGUGAGGACAGGGAAGAGGGAGCCCCCUCCCUCUAAAACCAGUCUAUGUGGGGAGCAUGAUAGCCAGAAAAAAGCUCAGAGGUCCCAUCAGAAACGAGAACCUGCUGGACCUGGACCCAGCUGUGUUUCCUUCAAGAGCAACUUGUCAAGGGCUGCGUUUAUUGAUUUCAAAAACCAACCUGUUCUAGAGUCACAGUGAGUUGUUGUCAGUUUGAGUCAAGUUAAACAACAGAGUUACAGUUGAUUUCAGAGGGCGAUGAGUCUGUUAUCCUGCAUAUGUAUGACAGUAAUAGUCUAUUCUAGUUUAACUGUCAGUAUUUGAUACUCUUCAAAUCUGGCCACAGGGGUUGCAAGCCAGUGACUUCUGUGCUGGUCCCAAGCCCUGAUAAAUGGGGGUUAUGGAUAAACGGGAGACCUUAGGGGUGGCUGUGGUGGAAAUUGUCUUUUGUAAGAUUUAUUGUUAA